ACCAAUUCUGAAGGAAGACUCUGUUCCUCUUUGUAUAAUGGCUCGGACGCCACAUGGUAUUCUAAAAUAGUUGUGUGGUUAUAUCCUGAUUGGUUGCGUUCUUUUAUGGCAAUCCAAUCCUGGAAAGGCCGCAUAUAUUC
rfam:Zea mays cultivar B73 chromosome 5, whole genome shotgun sequence.